rnacentral:tRNA from 1 species
GCUUCCGUAGCUCAGUUGGUAGAGCAGUUGACUCUUAAUCAAUUGGUCAGGGGUUCGAGUCCCCUCGGGAGCACCA